rnacentral:rRNA from 1 species
CCUACGGGUGGCAGCAGUGGGGAAUAUUGCACAAUGGGCGAAAGUCUGAUGCAGCAACGCCGCGUGAAGGAAGAAGGGUUUCGGCUCGUAAACUUCUAUCAACAGGGACGAAAGAAAUGACGGUACCUGAAUAAGAAGCCCCGGCUAACUACGUACCAGCAGCCGCGUUAAGACGUAGGGGGCACGCGUUAUCCGGAAUUACUGGGGGUAAAGGGUGAGUAGGCGGUAUUGUAAGCCAGAUGUGAAAGCCCUGGGCUUAACCCGAGGAUUGCAUUUGGAACUGUCAAGCUAGAGUGCAGGAGAGGAUAGCGGAAUUCCUAGUGUAGCGGUGAAAUGCGUAGAUAUUAGGAAGAACACCAGUGGCGAAGGCGACUGUCUGGACUGAAACUGACGCUGAGGCACGAAAGCGUGGGUAUCAAACAGGAUUAGAUACCCCAGUAGUC